rnacentral:rRNA from 1 species
GUUCACGGCCAUACCACGUUGAAAGCACGCCAUCCCCUCCGCUCUGGCAAAUCAAGCAACAAUUGGCCUGGUUAGUACUUGGAUCGGAGACGGCUUGGGAAUCCCAGGUGUCGUGAAUU